rnacentral:rRNA from 1 species
CGACCGGCGCACGGGUGAGUAACACGUAUCCAACCUGCCGAUGACUCGGGGAUAGCCUUUCGAAAGAAAGAUUAAUACCCGAUGACAUAGUUCUUCCGCAUGGUAGAACUAUUAAAGAAUUUCGGUCAUCGAUGGGGAUGCGUUCCAUUAGCUUGUUGGCGGGGUAACGGCCCACCAAGGCAUCGAUGGAUAGGGGUUCUGAGAGGAAGGUCCCCCACAUUGGAACUGAGACACGGUCCAAACUCCUACGGGAGGCAGCAG